rnacentral:lncRNA from 1 species
ACCUUGUCACCAGUCAUUACAGAGUAUUCCAAAGAAGGUCAACUUACAUCAUACUUCCAACUUUCUUUGAGCAACCAAUCUUUGGCGAACCUCAGAUUGUCCUCGAUAAUUGAAUCUUACAUAGAUUGAAUAACUUCCACCUAUGGAGACAUUUCCAUAGUCCCAUUUUGACUAUCACUUCCGAACAAGAGUUACUUCUUUUCAGAAUAUGUCAAUAUGGUCCUUUCCGACAACUUACAUCAUACUUCCAACUUUCCCUGAGCAACCAAUCUUUGGCGAACCUCAGAUUGUCCUCGACAAUUGCUUAAUCACUUUAGUCAUAUCCAGUUCUAGACUUUUCCCUUCUCAAUGCCUUAAGCAUUUGGAAAAUUUAGAAAAGAUGAAUAUUAUAGCACAUGCAAUCGAUCCUAUAUCCGAAGCAUAUGGGACACGAUUCAUGAUGUUUGACAUAAAGACAUGAUACUAGACCAGUCUUUUGCUACAAUAUUUUUUUUUGGCCAUGUUUUCAAAAUUUAACUAUGAAGAGGGAUGCCGUAAUCAUAAUCGAAUUUUGAAAACGCAAUAUAUAUAGAAUUUCUUCAAGUUGAACCAUUCCAACAUAAAAUUCAUAUAUAUAUUCUUGACUAAAGAUGAUUAAAAUCUCAAUCUAAGCUUUAGAAUUGAAAUGAAGUAUAAUUUCCUCUCCCUUAA